UACGUAGGGGGCAAGCGUUGUCCGGAAUUAUUGGGCGUAAAGGGCGCGUAGGCGGGCCUUUAAGUCCGGUGUGAAAGAUCAGGGCUCAACCCUGAGAGUGCAUCGGAAACUGGAGGCCUUGAGGACAGGAGAGGAAAGUGGAAUUCCACGUGUAGCGGUGAAAUGCGUAGAUAUGUGGAGGAACACCAGUGGCGAAGGCGACUUUCUGGACUGUAACUGACGCUGAGGCGCGAAAGCGUGGGGAGCAAACAGGAUUAGAUACCCUGGUAGUCCACGCCGUAAACGAUGAGUGCUAGGUGUAGAGGGUAUCGACCCCUUCUGUGCCGCAGUUAACACAAUAAGCACUCCGCCUGGGGAGUACGGCCGCAAGGUUGAA
rnacentral:rRNA from 1 species